CAUCUUAUACUAGAUAUCUGCAGGCCGGCAGUCAAUCCCAGCUGCCAGAAGCCAGAGCCAAAUGUGUCGCCCAAGUAUGGGGGCUGCGCUCCCUGGUUUCUGAAGCACCACCUCGGCUUCCUUUGGGGAGCACUGUUCAGAUUCACCUGCCUUGCGCCAGAAUCUCUGGGCACCCCCAUGCCUAGCCCAGGGCAGGAGCCAAGUCUGAAAGAAACUCAAGUGCUUGACAAGCUCAUCCGGGAAAGCACAAAGCUGUCGGACCUGAGAAGGACGUCUUAUCAAAGUCCACACUCUCCGAUCUUAGAGGAGACGAAAUAGGAGGGCAAUGGCUUCCGUCAAGGCUGAAACCAAACAUUUUGGCUAUAUCUGAACGACCACUGAAUCACCGAGUCCACCGUAUUUUUCCACUUUCAAGUUGUUUCUGGGCUGCUGUGGAGACACGCCCUUCCUGGGUUUAAUGGCCCUCGUGUCAGGCUGUGGGGAGGAGGCGUGUUUACUUUUUGCAGGGAAAAUAGUGGUUAAUGGUGGACGGAUGGACCUGAUUAGUAAUUGGGUGAUUUAUCCCAUGAACGUUCUUUGGGUUUUCCCGGUGGUUUGCACUUGAAUGUCGGCUGAAUGAAGUAGGAGGAGGGACUAAGAGGAAGAUGGUUUCGAGGAGAAAGGGGUGGGGUUGGCUCAGGGUUGAGGGCUGUUUCAGGGACAGGUGGAGGUUUGCGCAGAUCAAGGGAGAAGGUUGUUCCAUCUGUUGUCCAAGACUCUUCCUCUAUGUUCAUUCACUCACUCGCUUAAUCGCUCACUCACUCAUUCACUUAUUGAAAGCUAUGAAAUUCUGAGCACCUUCUCUGUGCUGGGGAUACAGCACACCUCAUACCUCCUAAGUACCAUGCAGCCAGUGUGAUGAAUAAGCUCUCUUUCUGCCAUGGACUGAGCCUUGUGUCCCCGGCCAAAUUCCCGUGUUGAAAUCUAAUUCCCAAAGUGAUGGUAUUUGGAGGUGGGGUCUUUGGGAGGUAAGUAGGUCUUGAAGGUGGAUCCCUUGUGAAUGGGAUUAGUGCCCUUAAAAAAGAGACUGAAAAGAGCUCCCUGGCUCUCUUUCCACCAUGUGAGGACACAAGAAGAAGUCAGCCUUAACCCAGAAGAGGGCCCUCACCAGAACCUGAUCAUGCUGGCACCGUGAUUUCAGACUUCCAGCCUCCAGAACUGUGAGAAAUACAUUUCUAUUAUUUAUAAGCCACCCGGUUUCUGGUAUUUUGUUACAGCAGCCUGAGCUGGCGAAGAUGCCCUCCUUUAGAGGAGCGUGCAGACUUGAUAAGGGAAACAGAUGGGCCAACAGAUAAUUCCCAGCAGAGGUGUGUUCAAACAUGAGCCCUGGGGACUAGGUACUAAGCAGAUGGAGGAACAGAGAUGUAAGUAACUUACCCAAGAUCACACAGCCAGCAGAUCUGCACCGAGGCAGUGUGUCCAGCUUUUUAUCGUCAUGGUAUCCAGGUCUACUUUGGAAACGAGGCGGCUAUGCCUCAAAAGGGAAGGGUUCCCAGAGAGAGUGAUGUUGGACGUGGGCCUUGAGGAGGAAGUAGAGAAGUUUUAGAGGUAGAGGAGGCCACAGCAAGAUGCCCCAACAGCUGAAAGUGCCUGUCACGUGCCAAGAGUGGCAAGGGGUGGAGGUUUCCUGAGAGGGGAAGUGGAGGAGAGGCCGGCAGGGCCAGACUCUGAUCCUUUCUUGAAGGAGUGGCUUGGGUAGUCCGAUUUUAAAUGAAGAAAGAGCUCUCAGCGGGGUGCAGUGGCUCACGCCUGUAAUUUCAGCACUUUGGGAGGCCAAGGCUGGUGGAUCACCUGAGGUCAGGAGUUCAAGACUAGCCUGGCCAACAUGGCGAAACCCCGUCUCUACAAAAAUACAAGAAUUAGCCAGGCAUGAUUGUGGGUGCCCGUAAUGCCAGCUACUCGGGAGGCUAAGGAGGGAGAAUCGCUUGAUCCCAGGAGGCAGAGGUUGCAGAGAGCCGAGAUGGCACCACUGCACUCCAGCCUGGGUGACAGAGUGAGAUUCCAUCUCUAAAACAACAACAAAGAAAACGAAAACAAAACAAAAAAAAGAAGGAAAAAAAAAGGAAGAGCUCCCAGGCAGCUCAGUAGAGAAUGGCUUGAGAGGUGGGGGAAGAUUAGAGGCAGGGGAAAGUGGACACCUGCUGUUUCAGCCCCCUAGCACCUGCUCUUCCCCAGGAGACAACCUCCUUUGUUCUGAGGCCUGGUGUUUUCACUGAUGCUGACUGCUUGAGGGGUGGCACAUGACUCAGGUCUGGCCAAUCAGCCUCUUCCAUCCCCCUGGCUGCAGGGACUGGCUCAGGAGGGUGCAUGUGACCAGAGGCCGACCGAUGAGACUCAGUUCUGAGAUUUUUGUUAGACUUGUUGCAGAAAAGAGACUGUCUCCUGAGGUUGCUGAGCUGGGUAUCUCCACCAGGAGCUGCAGGGGCCAUGCUGUCACCAUGUGAAGACAGGUUGCUUGACAACAAAGUUGCAUUAGUUUCCUUGGGCAGCCAUAGCAAAGUAUCACAGACUGGGGAGCUUAAACAACAGAAAUUUAUUUCCCCACAAUUCUGGAGGCUAAGUCCAAGAUCAAAGUGUCAGCAGGGUUGAUUUCUUCUGAGGCUUCUCUUCGGCUUGUAGAUGGGUGGCUGUCUUCUUCUGGUGUCUUUACAUGGUCUUCCCUCUGUAUGUGUGUGUGUCUGUGUCCCAAUCUCCUCCUUUUCUUCUUCUCCUUUUUUUUUUUUUUUCUUUUGGGAUGGAGUCUCUCACUCUGUCCCCAGGCUGGAGUGCAGUGACCUGAUCUCGGCUCACUGCAACCUUCACCUCCUGGUUCAAGUGAUUCUCCUGCCUCAGCCCCCCGAGUAGCUGGGACUACAGGCACAAGCCACCAUGCCCAGCUAAUUUUUGUAUUUUUAGUAGGGACUGGCUUUCACCUUAUUGGCCAGGCUGGUCUGGAACUCCUGACCCUGUGAUCCGCCUGCCUUGGCCUCCCAAAGUGCUGGGAUUACAGACGUGAGCCACUGUGCCCCGGCCAUACACAACUCAUAAUGGAUUAAGGUCCACCUAAUGACCUCACUUAACCUUAAUUACCUCUUUAAAGACCCUGUCAGAAAAUAUAGUUACAUCUGAAGUACCCGGGGUUAGGAUUUCAACAUACUGGAGGUGGGAGGAGCACAAUUCAGCGCAUAACAGAAGCUAACACAGAAAAAAACACAGAGAUGGGGUAAGAGACUGAGGCUUGACUUUGUUUGAGCUCCUGGAUCCAGCUGUGCCUGAAGUUGAAACUAAUACUAUCCAGGACUCUUGAGUUUCAUGAUCCAAUAAGUACCUAAAUCCCACCUCUCCUUUUUUUUCCCCUCUUGAACCUAGUUGAGUUGGAUUUCUGUCACUUACAGUUAAAAUUCCUGAGUAAUACACAGGAGAACUAGUUAACAAAUUAUUAAAAUAGCCCACCCCUAAUUUAAUCACCAUGUGCAAGGACAGUGCUUGUAUGUACACCCAGGUAUGUCUAAUUCUAAUAGCUAGAGGUAGCAAAUAUGGUAAAAAUUGAGCCAAGUUUGCACUAGCCUCUUCCAUUAAGCAGGAAUUCCCACCUUAGCUCUGAAGCCAUGUAGGACAGGGCUGGAGAAACUACUAUUCCUACCAAUGUUUCUAAUGUGUGCAGUAGGCUGGGGUGCUGGCAGGGGAAAAUUAAAAAUGUAGUUUGGGUUAAAAAAAAAAGAAAAAGAGCUUUCUAGGCCAGGCGCAGUGGCUCACGCCUGUAAUCCCAGCAUGUUGGGAGGCUGGGGCGGGUGGAUAGCUUGAAUCCAGGAGUUUGAGACCAGCCUGCGCAACGUGGUGAAACCCCGUCUCUACAGAAAAUACAAAAAUUAGCCAGGAGAGUCGCUGUGUGUCUGCAAUCCCAGCUACUUGGGAGGCUGAGGUGGGAGGAUUGCUUGAACCCAGGAGGCGAUGGUUGCAGUGAGCCGAGAUGGCGCCACUGUACUCCAGCCUGGGUGACAGAGUGAGACCCUGUCUCAAAAUCAAUCAGUCAAUCAAUCAAUCAAACAAACAAACAAACAAAAAACAGCUUUCCAGAAGGGAAAAAUCAUUUUGGGAAGCUUUGAGUAGGGGCUGUGGAGAGUGGGCUCCAGACGUCACUUCAUUGGUUGGCAGGUGCUGUUAGGGGGUGCCCAGAGGGGAGCUCGGGGGAGCGGCGGCUUUCUUCCAGCAGAUAUGGACUCGGGCAGGAGCCACUGAGCAAGUACUCCGAUGGGCUGGGCUUCCUGAGGCUUCAUGCCUGGGCUGAGCAGGGCGGGGCUGUGGUCCACGUGGUGCCCAUUGGCCUCCCAAAAGGAAGGAGCGGGGAGAACUAGAAAUGUGGCUGGAAAAAGUCAGCAUCUCCCUCCUGGGCGGGCUCCCUGGUGGUCCCGGGAGCUGGCCAUGUCUGGAGGAGGAGGCUCCUCUAAGGUGUGCAGCUGCCUUUCUCAAUGCCGCUGAGUUGGAUUGGGAUCUCUUUCAAUGAGAGUGUUUUGAGGGACCCUCAGCUCCAUGCUCUGCUGGCUUCCUCCAGGGAUGCUGAGAGGUGGCCCUUCUAGUGGUAAGAUGAGGGGCCCAUGGCCUUGUGGAGUCAGACACACUGGCAUUCACUGAAAGCUCUGUGCCUGACCUACCUGGUGACUUGGGGCAAGUGACUUCACCUGACUGAGCCUCUUUCCUUCAUCACUGGCAAAAUGGAACCAACUUCACAGCCUUCUCCUGAGGCUUAAGUGAAACCAAGCAGUCAUAAAGGGAUAGGCUUUGGAGUCCCUGGGUUUGCAUCCCAGUUUACUAACUGAGCUGGGUGGCCUUGGGCAAGUCACUCACCCUCUCUGAGCCUCAGUGUCCUACUCUGUAAAAUGAACCCACCAAUGGUACUUAUUUCCUAGGGCAAAUGUGAGGAUUGACAGAUAAAACAUGUAAACUUCAUGAAAGCAAGGGGUUUUGUUAUUGAUUUAUCCCCUCUGCAGUUCCUGGGACAUAAAGACACUAAAUAAAUGGGAUCAGCUUUUAUUGUUAUUAUGAUUCACCGUCACCCAGCACUGGUUGAGGCUGCUCUCUGUGGCAUCCUGUAGACACACUUGUAUGUGAGUUUCUGGUCAGGAUGGGGAGGACAAGACCACUGUCUCUGGCACACUUAGCAAACUCUAUCUCCAGGGAUAGAGUAAGACUCCUAUGGUGCAGGAGGGGGCAUGAGGGAAGGCUAGGAGUGCCCUCUGCACUGUUUAAGCACCUCACUUGUGUCAUUUCACUGCACCCAUACCCACGCCCCAUGAACUAGAUUCAUUUAUUACCCCAUUUGACGAUGAGGAGGCUGAGGUUCAUCAAGGUAUAGCCAUUGAGAUCUUACUGCCAGGGAGAGGUAGAGCCAGGGUUCAAACCUGAAUUUGUACUGUUCCAAAUCCCUUUUUUAAAAAUUUUUAUUUUUAUUUUUUUUUUAUUUUCCCAGGCUGGAGUGCAGUGGGCAAUUAAGGCUGACUACAGCCCCCAACUCCUGGGCCCAGACAAUCCUCCCGCUUCAGCCUCCCAAGUAGCUGGGACCACAGACGUGUGCCACAGUGUAGGCCCCUUCUUUUUAAAUAGCGUGGUGCUGUGUCCCCUGCUCCGUGCCCCUCAGGAUUCUUUAGGAAGUGGCUCCAUCGACCCACUCUCAGUUGAGCUGAAAGAGGACUCGAGGGACUCUUUAUUGGGAAAAAAUGGAGUGCAAAGCCUACUCCUGCCCCUGCCAGCACCAGCCUUCGGAGGCAAAUAAAAAGCAGUGGGCACUGGGACAGCAGCCCCAGAGGUGCACUAAAAUCCACCUGACAAAUGGCCCCUCUCCCAUGAGCCCACGAACAGCAGAGAGGAAGGUGGCCAGGGCCAAGUAGAAAGAUUUCUACAGCAUGGCCGAGUUCUCCAAGGUCAAGAGCAAGCAGAGCUGCCGCCUGUAUUCCUGAGAACUGGCCUCCUGGGGAUGUGGCCAGCCCUUUUUAAGGGAUUUGGGUCAAGGUGGGGAUUCUGACCCUCACCGCUGUGCUGGGACUGGCCUGGGAACUGGGAAGGAGGAUACACUUGGGAAAACUGCAGUGAAGAAUGCAUAAUAAUGGAAGGAAUCUCAUGGAUGAUUAUCAGGUAGCUCUCAGGAUCAAGAGGAAAGCUGGAGACGGCCUUUCGGCAGGAAGGGGGAAACUGAGGCAGAAGGCAGACCCUGCCCAGUGAUGGUCCCUUUCACAUGUCACUACUGGCACCAUCACUGUGGGACAUAUACUCCCACCAUGGGCACUACAGGCUCUGGGUCUUGCUGUGCUCCCUGGACUGUUGACUGCCUGGAAGCCUCUGGGAGUCACCUCUCGCUCUGUAGCUUCAGGUCUCUCCUCCCAGAGUCAAACUCCCCAUGGGCAGGGCUGCUGGAUAAAAUACAGGAUGCCCAGUGACAUUCUACUUUCAGAUAAUUGAAAAAAAUUUUUUAGUAGAAAAAAGUUAUUUAUCUGAAAUUCAAAUUUAACUGGAUAGCCUGUAUUUUUAUUUGCUAACUUAGCCGCCCCACUCAGAGCGCUGGGCCCUGCUCUGGUGCCUGGUGGGGAGGAACUCUGUCUCUUCCACUUCUGGGGUAAGAAUGUCAAUCUUGUUGGAUUGGAUUGAUUACAUUGUUUGGAUGGAAAAUAGAGGAAAAAGAGCACAUACAACUGCGACUCCUUAAACCUGUCCCCCUAUUUGUUUUUUUUGUUUUUUUUUUUGAGACAGGGUCUCACUCUGUCACCCAGGCUGGAGUGCAGUGUCAUGGUCAGGGUUUGCUGCAGCCUUGAAGUCCUGAGCUCAAGUGAUCCUCCUGCCUCAGCCUCCAGAGUACCUGGGAGUACAGGCGUGCGCCACCACACCCAGCUAAUUUUUGUAAUUUUUUUUUUUUUGUAGAGAUGGGGUUUCACCAUGUUGGCCAGGCUGGUCUCAAACUCCUGGGCUCAGGUGAUCUGCCCUCCUCGGCCUCCCGAAGUGCUGGGAUUACAGGUGUGAGCCACCAUGCCUGCCUGUCCCAUUUCCCCAUUUUAAAAAAGUCACCUGCCCGAUUGGUUUUCAAAGCUGCCUUCACUCAAAGAGGGCCUGGAGGGUAGGAAUGACUCAUACAGUCAUUCAUUGUCUGUGCCCGCUUUUCAUAGCACAAAAGAUAGGUCCUUCCCAUCCCGCCCAUCCUCUCCCUGCUGGUCAUCUUGUAUGCGGAGAAUCCAAGGAUCUUCUUACCAAUGAGUUCUUGCCGCUCAUGAGCAGGUGAAGGAGUGGAGCUGAAGUGGAAAUAAUCUAUGGGCUGGACUGUCUAGACAGCAUUUGCUCCUCUGGAUAGGGAGGAGAGCAGACAGAAGCGGGCUUUGGCCAAACUGAAACUCAAGCCAUCACUGCCAGCCCUUCCUGAGCCAUCUCAGAUGAGCCUUGUCUCUGGGCCACAGCCAGAAUUGGCCUGGGCUGUUUCUCACUCCUAUUUCAAAGGAUUUGUGCUCCUAGCAGAGGAAAAGCUUGAACAUUUACAGUGAAAAAUUUAGUAGAAGGGGGAAGAAACAGAGGGUCUUUCUUUCUUUCUUUCUUUCUUUUUUCUUUCUUCUUUUCCUUCUUUUGUCUUAUCUUUUGGUUUUGGGGCAGUGAAAGAAAAUUAAUUUUUUAGCUAUAAAACUUUGUCUUAAGAUCAGUUUUGGAAAGAAAAGCAUCUACUAAUUGAAAACGUCACUUUUCGGGCCCUUAAGUCAAGGGAAACAGGUGCAAGUUUGUGGUUUUAGACACAGCAUUUCUUUUGGAAAAAAGUAGUAAAAGUACCCCAGAUAAGUUCUCUCCAAAGCUGGAUAGAUUUUUAUUUUUCAGCCCUUUAUUACAUAGAAGGUGACAGAUUAGCUGAAAAGUUAAAAGAAAAAUCAACUCUCACCCUUGUAGGUAACACUCCAAUCUCUCUCUCUCUUUUUUCUUUCCAAGGCUGAAGAGAGGGCAACUGUUUACUGCAAUUUUGAUAAAAUUCCCUUUCAAUACGGCCUGUUCCUGGAUAGAGUCCCACCUUUCAUCUGCUUUUAUUCCUAAUCCUGUGGCAAAGCCUGGACCUCCCUUUUCUUCUCAUACAAGCUCGACAGAGCUGGCAUUUUCCUUCUCCAUUUCAGUGACAUGUUUUUCAGUGUUUUGUCUGUUUGUGAAGGGGCAGAAAUGUCAAGGUCAAAAAAGUCUUGGAAAAAAUGAGUAGUAUUUCUGUACCUGCUGAGGGUUAGGUGCUUGGAUGUUAUAUAUCUCUGCAUUCCCACAGUAAAACCAUGUGUGGUUGGGGAGCUUUUCCUUUUUUAACCUCUCUGGGUGGUUGAGGAAUUGGAGGCUCAGAGAGGAGAAGUGACACAGCCCAAGGUGACGCCACCAGGAGCUGAACUUGAAAGCCAAGCCAAGUCCGUCUGACCAUCAAGCGUUGCUCCUAUAAUCAUACUACCUUGCCUUCUGCCUUUGUAAACAUGAGGUGACACAUCAAGCUAGGGCUAUUAAAAUACCCAGAAGCACUUUUCUUCCAAAUAACUCACAAUAUCUUGUCUUUGGGAAGUAUUCAAUAGGUUUAUUUCAGUAAAAGAUACACCAUUGCCAUGGUUUUAGGGAGUGAUUCUGAAUUUUAUGUUACUGAUUAAGAAAGAUGGUUAAUGGAACCUGUUUCCUUAAGAAAUUUACAUCAUAUAUUAGUAAGCUGUUGCUGUGUAGCAAAUCACACCAACACUUAGUGCCUUGAAGUAACAACAUGUAUUAUCUCACAAUUUCUGUAGGUGUGAAAACUGGACAUCAUUUAGCUGGGUCCUGUGCUUCAGGGUAUCUCACAGGCAGCACACAAGGCUUCAUCUGGGCUAUACUCAUCAGAAGGCUGGAUUGGGGAAGAUCUGCUUCCAAGUUUACUUACAUGGUUGUUGGUGGGAUUCAGUUCCUGGUAGGCUGCCAGCUUUAGCUCCUCAUUUCCUGAUGGCUGGAGGGUUCCCUCAGUUCCUUUCCAUGUGGGCCUCUCCAGCAUGGCUGCUUGCUUCAUCAAAGUGUACAAGAAGGGAGACAGCAAUAGGAACAUGUCAGCAAGAUGGAAUCCACAGUCUUUUUAAAGCUAACCAUGGAAGUGAUAUUCCAUCACUUUUGGUGUAUUCUGUUUGUUAGGAACAAGACACUAGGUCCAGCCCACCACUCAAGGUAUGGGAUUACACACGGCAUGAAUACUAUGGGGUGGGGAUCACUGGAAAUUAUGUCAGCAGCUAUCUGUCACACAUGAGAGAAGUGGAGAUGGUAGUCAUAAUAAUAGUCAUCAUCAUCAUAAUAAUAAGGCUGGUGAGGAUAGCCAGCAUUUAUUGGGUGUUCUUGAUGCAUCAGGCACUGGGCUAAAUCCCUUCUAUGCAUUGUCUCCUUUAAUCUCCUCAUCACUCUCAUUAACUUCCCUGAGUUACUACAGCAAAGAGAUUAGGACCAGACUCUGUUGUUUCCACUCCGAAGUCCAUCCCUUUACAUGAUGCAGAUCAUUGAUAAGAAUCCACUGAGCUGCUGAGGCUCCAGGAAAGACCUGAUUGAGAGAGGAGUCUGAUAAACGAAGCUGAACUCACUGCUCCUCAGAAAACUGCAAAUGAACACAACCAGAAGCCAUUUCUUACCCAUCAGAUUGGAAAAGAAAAUUGUCCGUAGGUCAAAGCAAGUCACACAGUUGUGCCCAAAGUCAAGGUGAAGAGAGUGCACUCUGAGGGUCAUGGCAAGGGUCAAGGAGUUGUAUAAUAGGUCCCCUGCAAUCUGGACGGUGCAGAGCUUACCUGCCUCUGAAGGUAAGCCUCACCUCUUUCUUCUUCUCUUUUGGUACUUCUGCUAUAGCCAUGCGUGUUCCCUGGACAUGCUACAUAUUGUGCACAUGCUAUUCCACAGACCUAGGAUGCUCCUCCCUGUCUCAUACAUUUGGUCAACCCUAUCGCAUCAUUCCUGACUAAGCAAGGCCUGGCUCAAAAGAUCAGGGAGGACAUCCUUAUUUGUCUUUCUUUUCCUCUCCAUAGGUAUGGGUGGAUCAUGGGGAUUCAGGGCCCCUCUUGGUACUUGGUUCUCUCUUUGGGUAUUCUCUCUUUCUCUCCUCUCACCUCUCUCUUUCUCUCUCUGUCUCUCUCUUGCUUUUGUUCUCAGCCUGCAUUGGCAUGAUCAUUUAAAGAUGAACAUCUGGCAUAGAGAGUUGGCCUUACUUUGGCCCUGAACCCUCACUAGGAUGCUCUGCAGGGUAGAAGGCUCACCUGGGCAGCUGUUCAUGGAGCAGCUCCUCUGGUUUCUCUUCCACCCUUGCUCUUCAGGUUCUCUGUGUGGGGAGGGUGGUGGUGACAGUAAAAGGCAGGAUCCAGGCAUUCCUGGGUCCUUGUGGUGACACCAUCAAAUAGUUCCCACUCUACCCAUCCUCAAACUCAGGUACAGAGCAGGUUGUACAGAGUGGCUGUGAAUGAAUGAAAGGGUGAGUGAAUUAUGUAUAUAUUUCCUCCAUGCUGCUUUCCGCUCAUCUUCAGGACUUUGGGUGAGCCUUGAAGUUGAGCUUCCAAAGGUAGAAGGAAUGAAGGAGCAAUGACAAGACCCAGACCUGCUCAUCUUAAUCAACUUUUAAGGUUGCCAUCGCCAGCAGCAGCAGAAAGCAACUCCGAGAAGCAGAAACUAUCUUCACAGAGCUGCCCUCUUUUCCACUGGACUAGGAAGCCCUCAUGGCUGCUGGCAGCCAUCUUGUGGCCAAGAGGGAGGGCAGGCAGAUGCAGGAGGCAGAGUGGAGAAAUGGAAGGGAAUGAAGUUCUUGGAGACUCUGCAGAGCUGCUAACAAAGUUUUGCUGAAGCCUAUCCCUCCUCUGGACUUCUCAGUCACAGGAGUUAAUACGUUAACACAGUCAUUUGGUGUGAUUGAGGAAUGCACUGUUCCUGAGUGAUUUAGAGAGCUUCUACCUCCUCUAUGUUCUCUUUGGAAGCAUUUUCAGGCCAUCUUGCAGAUGCAGUCUCUGAGUUAUGCCCCUGCCCUGGGCUCAGGGGACAUGUUGAGGAGGUCAUGGAUCCCUGCAUGCCUGCUGAGGACCAGCCCCUCCCCUACACCAUUCUUCUCCCCUGCUCUGGUCCAUAUAUCAGACCAGCCUAGCAACCAUGAUGACAGCAAAAUCUCAGAAACUGGGGUGGGGGACAUGCUUUUCAAUAUUUUUCUUUUCAAUAAAAUAUUGUCUUGAUUUCCUUUCUUGAGACCUCUCUACCCAUGUUGGAUGAGGUCAGCCAUAAGACGGAAGCCUCAGGGGCUGUAAGAAUGGACUCCUCAACUGAAAUUUGGACAGAAUGCUCUCUCUGGUGCUUCCCAACUCUGACAAGCUCUGGUUCUGUGAAAGUUGAUCCAAUGAUGGUAAAGGGACUCCAGGAGCGUCUGCUGGGUGCCAGGCACCUCCUAGCCACUCUGUCCUUUGCAGAAGUGGAAACUGAGGCUGUGGAUAGCUCAAGGCUACAAGGAGGCAGAGUUAGGAUUUGAAUUUAGCUCCUUUUGACACUAAGACCAUUACAUUCCAUGACUACACGUGCUGUGCCCUUGCUUUGGGACACCUUUUUUUUUUUUUUUUAUAAAGAUGGUUACUCCGCUUUGGAAAAGGUCAAUGGAGGGACACACUGCAGCCUGGGGAAAUUUUUUUUGGAGCUGUUGUCUCACAGGAUUUUUUUUCUUUUCAUGAACUUAGUUCAGCCAAGGGUGCUUUGAGAGGCCAAUUUUCAGUCUCGCCCCCCAUUGAAACUCAGAAGAACAUGAACCAGGGCCAGCGAGCUUGCUGGGUGAACUUGGAAACAGUGGCAAUUGGUCAGAGUUGGCCUGUCUCUAGCUCCCUGUGUACUAGUGGAGGGAUGUUUGUUGUUUCAGUGGCCACCGAGCAGAACUCAGGGAGAGGGUGUGGAGCCCUCAGAGGCCAGGCAGGCUGAGAGGAUGGCAUGUGUGCACACCACAAACCAGCUUCCAAACAUAGCCACAGUUCAGGGGAAAAAACCCCAACCUGACUUCAUAAGCUCUCCUGAUGGAUAUAUAAAUCCUCUUGAGGAAACGCUGGGUUAUUAUUGAAUGUUCACUGUGUUUCCUGGAUGGAGUUUGGAAGAGAGUAGACAACUCAACUUUUGUUCGGCAGGAACUUGGAAGACAGGGGAUGGGGCUCUGUAACCCACCUACACAUACAUCUUUCAGCAUGGAGCGUCUGUUCAAUAUGCCCUCACCUAGAGCCCGGUCCUGCGUGAAUAUGCUCAUGCACUGAGACCUCGGGCAAACCUGGGGGCUGAGGAGCCUUAUCCAGAUUGCACAGGGACAGAAAAUAAUCCAUUGAUCCCAGCUGGGGUUGCAUGCCAUGCACCUGAACUGUGUUAGUCUGCUCUUGCAAAGAUGCCACAUCUGGACCAGCUGCUGUAAUUGUUGAGCUCGUGCAGUCUACUGUCAUCCUCCAGAAUCCGUCUGGUUUUUGUAGGGAGCAGAUGGAGCAUUGAAAUCAUAUAGCAGCAUCAUCCAGACCUGCAGAAUCAUACGUGAUCAUAGCCAGUUCACACUGAAAAAAGCCUUGUAGGAGAUUCGCCAACCUAAUCAUUCAGCUUACAGGUGCCUGAAACAAAGAAAAGAAAUGCAGAUAAUUGGAUCUUCAUGACAUUUUCCCAACUGGCCACUUUCCCUGUAACAAGACCAAGCCUGUCUCUUCCAUUGUACUCUCGUGAGCUACCUGGGUCAGAACCUGAAAUCUUGGCGCAGAAGUCCUGUGGCCUGGUGCCUGAAACAAAGAAAAGAAAUGCAGAUAAUUGGAUCUUCAUGACAAUUUCCCAACUGGCCACUUUCCCUGUAACAAGACCAAGCCUGUCUCUUCCAUAUGGGUCAGCCAUAUCCCACCCACUCCUCCUGGGAUUUGACUUGGGGAAUGUGGACAGAAUCACACAGUCAGUAGAAGUUGGAAAGUAGGCGGAAGUGGCCACAUGGGGUAGGGACAUAUCAGAGUUAUGAUGAAUCAGAAGCAGAAGCCCCAAGUUGAAGAAGAGAUACAAAGCUUGGAAGCAGGAAGAGAUGGAGCGGACACACAAAGGAAUCCAACACUGGAGAACGGCAACGUAAAGGUGGCGUGCUAGGGGAAAGCUCCAGAAUUCCUGCAGCUGGGCGCUGGAGCCACCCUGAACUUUCAAAGACCUCCCUAUUCCAGUCUCCACAAUCCCAGGUCCUGGUAUGUCCCUGGAUUUGGGGGGAGAUUCUGGCUCCUUUGUAGCACCACAAUAAACCCUUAUUGCCUGAGUUAUCCCAAGUGACUCCCUGUUCUUUAUGGGCUCACAAGCCAACACACC
rnacentral:lncRNA from 10 species